AAUAACUAAAAAAAAUCUCACGUAUAUACUUUACGAUUUUUAAUCAUUUGAAGUCAUAAAGGUUUUGAAUUCCUUGAUUCCGGUAUUUCCUCUAAUCGCUGAUUGGUCAAAUCGGCUCCGCUCUCCAUUUUCAAACAAGAUAGCGUCGGUUCAAGAAGGUGAAAGUUGAAAGGUUCUAUUAUUACUUUGUUCAACGAACCAUGUAUGCCCUUAUGGAGUGGAUAGAGGAAGAAAAGGUCAGCAUCAUAACCAUAUCACGCAUCAAAGAUCCAAGAAAGGAGUUUUGCCAGUAUAAAGUUGGGGAUUUGGUGAAAGCCAGCUGCCAUGGCUUUUCUGGCGUGCAUCCCGCCAAGAUCUUAGAUGAUGGAGCUGAUGCCUGGUAGUGGGAUCUACAUUUAUCCCAAAGAUAUACAAGCUUUAUAUAAGCCAAAAAAAAAAAAAAACAACAAGUGGAACUUUUCAGGAGGGGGAACCUAACUGGUGCAAAUGAAAAGACCAUUUUAAACACUAUUCUUGAAGAUGCCAGGAUUCAGAGGCCAUUGUCAAGUUUUCGAUGAGGACCAAGAUUAGUUCCCAAGUCAGCCUCCAGAACAUGAAACAGACCUAGCUUUUAUACAUUCAGUAAUGUGAGAUAUAUAUAUAUAUAAACUGGGAAACUUUCUCACUUACCGGCGCGAGCGGGAUUCGAACCCGCGCCCACAGAGGUGAGAGGCCAUGUGAUUUGGAGCGCGAUGCUCUAACCACUCGGCCACCUUUAUAAAUGAAAUUAAUAUACCAAUAAUAGUCGCUGUUUAUAAUCGGUAAUGUCUUAUUAUCCCCAUCUUUUUUGUAACUUUUCCAUAACUUUUGUCGGGUAUAACUUUUUUGUAACUUUUCCAUAACUUUUGUCGGGUAUAACUUUUUCAUAACUUUUGUCGGGUAUAACUUUAAUGUAACUUUCUCCAUAACUUUUGUUGGGUAUAACUUUUUUGUAACUUUUCCAUAACUUUUGUCAGGUAUAACUUUUUUGUAACUUUUCCAUAAAUUUUGUCAGGUAUAACUUUUUUGUAACUUUUCCACAAUUUUUGUUGGGUAUAACUUUUUUGUAACUUUUCCAUAACUUAAGUAUAACUUUUUGAUAACUUUUGUGAAGUAUAACUUUUUUGAAGUAUAACUUUUUGAUAACUUUUAUGCACUUGUUGUAUUCAUGUUGAAAUAAAAGAUGAUAACUUAUACAUGAGUAUAACUUUUUUGUACCCGAGUUAUAAGUAAAGUAUAACUUUAUUUGAAGAAGUGGUUCCAAACUCCGAUAACUUAGUUAUAACUUUUUUGUAACUUUUCUUAGUUACAAAGUUAUAACUUAGUUAUAGUUUUUUUCGGUAUGGGUU